rnacentral:rRNA from 1 species
AUUGAACGCUGGCGGCAUGCCUUACACAUGCAAGUCGAACGGCAGCACGGGAGCAAUCCUGGUGGCGAGUGGCGAACGGGUGAGUAAUAUAUCGGAACGUGCCCAGUCGUGGGGAUAACGUAGCGAAAGCUACGCUAAUACCGCAUACGAUCUAUGGAUGAAAGCGGGGAUCGCAAGACCUCGCGCGAUUGGAGCGGCCGAUAUCAGAUUAGGUAGUUGGUGAGGUAAAGGCUCACCAAGCCGACGAUCUGUAGCUGGUCUGAGAGGACGACCAGCCACACUGGGACUGAGACACGGCCCAGACUCCUACGGGAGGCAGCAGUGGGGAAUUUUUGGGACAAUGGGCGCAAGCCUGAUCCAGCAAUGCCGCGUGCAGGAUGAAGGCCUCGGUGUAAC